GGCCGCGGGCGGCCCCGCAGGGCUGGGAGGGGACCGCGCACCGGCACCGCGGGGGGACCGGCCUGCCGGGGGGCGACGGUGGCCGCGACGGGGAGAGAUGAAGCCUGAAAUACGCAAGAUCUGGUGUUUGGAUGGAAGACAACUUUCUUAUAUAAACCAGGAGAUCCUAAAAACCUUUAAACUGAAAUUCUCAGGAGGAAGUGGGAAGUAACUUGUAUAAUCCUCACAUGGAAUGCAAAUAGAGGGACGUGAAUGAGGAUGGAACAACAGAAAAGAUAGAUAAACAAAAGAAUAUGAUGAAUACGUGGAUUAUAUCUACAAGAACUUGCAACUUUACAGGUCUACCCCCUUUCUACAGUACUUCAAUCAAUAAGAGUAGCAGGAACAGUUGAUAUAGCAUGUGGAACCAGACAGUAUGGGCAAACAGGAACAUGGAGGUACCAAAGUCAUAAGUGAAAUAUAUUGGAACUGAAGGGUACACACUGUUUAGGAAAGACAAAAAAGGUGGUGAAAUAAUUUCAUGUUAAUGCACUAAGAACUGUUAAGAAGUAAAGGCUGUUAAACAACAGUGCAAUAAACAUGUUAAAUUUGAGGGUGAAGAUGAGAUAGUGUCUGCUUGAAUGAAAAUUACUGAGAAAAGGGUAGGAAAAAAACUUCAUGGGGAUGCAAUCUAUUAUGAAUCUGCUGAUACAGAUUUGAUCUGGAUAAUAAUGCCUAUAAAUAUAGGGAAAAAAGUAAAAAUCGAUAUUGUGUGAUUAUGCAAAUUGUGCAAUUUUGCUCACGGGCAAAUACCAGAAAAAAAUUCAACCAAUGAUGUUGGGGAUGAUAUGAAUUUGAACAUGAUGGAGAAUAGCUGCUUCUAUGGAACAGACACUGAGCAAGCAAGAGGCAAAGAUAACUUAGACACAGUUUUAGUGAAUGAUAGGAUCUGCAGGAAUGACUGAUGAUAGAACAUAAUCUUAAAUCUGGUGGUUUUGAGCUUUUCCAUUUCAUGUGAAGCUGUAAGACAGAAAGAUGUAGAGGAUCUGUAACUGCUGUCCAGUAUUUUUGAAAGGCAAACUGAGAAAAAAGUUUAGUGAGGUAGUCUUGCGUGAGGAGCACCAGAAUUAGAAUUCAGAUAAGGCAUGAUAUUACUUUAUGUAAAAAAAUACAAACACUAUUGAAUGUUUACAUUGGGGAAGAGGGGAGAAACAAACAAACAAAUAGAACAAACAACAGGGAUGAAAAAGAAUUCCCAGAAGGUAAAAACCUUAAGCAACUUAUUAAGGGUAAGUACAAAACCUAUAAAGAAUGGGAAAGAGAUAUCGAUUAGCGAGAAGAAAUCUGCAUCAAUAAUUAGAAGGUAUAAAACCAAACAGAAUGGUCAGAAGCCUUGUUAAACCAAAAUUUGCACAGAAAACUGAAACAUAAUAAAAACUUCUUAAGCCAUGUAAUAAAAAGAGAACUUCAGAAUUGGAAUGGAUGUUAAAGGAUGGGGUGGACAUUAAGAAUAAAGUAGGCCUGGACUAAAUAGCUACUGGAAAAGUUGUUUCUGUUUCUGGUAAGACUGCACAUGUAAAUUUUGAUACAUAAUGAAAGUAGGAAUAGGGCAAGAGAAAUCACAUCAUCAGCCUAUCUGGUACUGUGUGGCACAAGCAGUUGGCCCAGAAAAUUUCUGUUCUGUAGUACUGAAACAAUCAACCCAUGAAAUGCAAGUUCAGAAGUAAGCAAGUCUAA